GGCAGGUUUUUAAGGUUCUGAGAGAGACUGUGUGCUGAGAUGGUGGAGGGCUGGAGCAGGCUGUUUUCCUCAUGCUGCUCAUUUUGAUAAAAAUAAAGUGAUGGACUGACAACAACUUUCUGCAACUUUGAGAAUCAGCCACCUGCUACAGACACGUCCUGUCCUCAGUAAAAGGAAUCCUUUGUCCCCUGGACCUGAGGAGGUGCUUCCACCUGCAGGUUCUGGGAUCCAGAUUCCCACAGAGGAAUGACAGCGUGGUUGUGCGUGAGAAGAGACGGCCGUUUGUAAAUUAGUUUCCAGGUUUGUUUGUUUUACUCAUCCAUGUGUGCCUGUGUGCAAGGCAGCAGCUGAAUGCUGACUGUGUGUGUGUGUGGGUGUGUGUGUGUGUGUGUGAAUCCCCUUCCCAAUAGCAGAGAACGUGCAUCUGUAGCCUUACCCACUUUGUCACUGUGGCACCUAUUGGUGUGUGUUCUCCCUCCGUCCCCCUGACCCUCCCCCAAAUGAUUACCAAAUGAAUUCAGAUGCGCUGCCACUCGAUCAAAGCCUUAAAUUCCACGUAGGUUUCCUCCUGCUUCUCCAUCCAAGAUGUAUAUGCAGAUUGUGCAUGAGCUCUUGUGAAAAUAAAGGCACUUAUGGUGAAGGGUCUGAAACGUCUAGUGAAGUGGUAGACUGUGCGGCCUAAUUAACAUGCCAAAGGUGUUAACUGGCAGCUGGCAGCAGUCAAAGCAGUAGCAGGUGAGCACCGCUGCUUGUUGAACUGAAUCGCACGAGGAGUCACGGGAGGCUUGUUCGGCAUCCAUUUGCAAAUCAAUGCCCACGGCUGGAGGUUAAUUUGGAUGUGAAGGUGUCUGACAUUAUGUUUCCUUCCUCUUUCACAGGGUUAAAGCACCAGCUUAGCUCCUCUCCUCUCUAUUUACCCAGAGUAUUUGUCUACAACAUCGGUCCGGUCACUGCAAUUACUCGGCUUCUACGAUACCUUUU